UGUGUGCCAUCUGUGUUUCC
rnacentral:miRNA from 1 species